UCCUUUUCUGCCUUUACCGCGCGCGCGCGCACACACACCCGUUUUCUGGGCUUGAUCUCCCCUCCCCCAGCCUGCUGUUUAGUUCAGGUGGAAUUUAGCUAACUUGAGCUUUGUAGGCGUUCAUAUAACUGCACUCUUCUCCUGGCAAAUGAAGCUCCUGAUCGCAGCAACAGACAGACCCCACUGCUUGAAAGGGUGAAAUGGUUGCGCAACAGGUCACCCCCUCCAUUCCCAGGUUGAAAGUCUAGUGAAGGGUGGUGCCCGCUGCACAAGUAAUUGACGCAGUCAGGUCAUUUCUGAGGUCAUGUGCCAAAGGUGAAAGCUGGACCACAGGGUGGGCAUGUUCCCCUCAGCAAAAAUCAAGUAACUGAAGUGGUUUUCUUAAACACAAUAAAGUGGGUAGAAGUGCUUUCAUCUAAAGACAAAGAUUAUGCAAAUAUAUGCAUAGAUACUCAUAUAGAUCCAUAUAUGAAGGGUAUUUUAACUGGAAAAAACAUGGCACUUGUGCACAACUGAACAAAACUACAAAACCACAAAUAAUGCACAGCUCUGGGUUUCUCCCAUAGAAACCUCUAGUUAGAUGUGGAAAGUUGCUUCUUAGUGACUGCCUGGGUCAGCUUUCGCUGAGCUAAAAGGACAUUCCCCUUGCAAUUCCCUUUUAUACUUUCAGGAUGUACUUGGUGAGAUUAAACAUAGGUUAAUUGAACAGGUUAUUGGCCAAACUUAGAUCUGACUUGGGGGGGUCAGUUUUUUAUUUCAUGAUGUUAUUUAACUUUGACCCUUUGAGAGGAAUUUAUUGUCUGCACCCAUCUGGAUUGUGAAAUCAUGGGCGUGAGCCAUCCUUGGCAGAGGGUUUUCUUUGAGGGACCAGGAGGGCCAAGAAAAGGCCUGGCCUGGAAGAUAGCGUGUGAAGACCCAGUUCUGUACCAUCCCAGAGCAGCCAGUGGGGUGAAUGAACCACUUCACCCACUGGGCCUCCCGUCCAUGGAUGGAAGAAGCUAUAGUCGAGACUGUUCACAUUCAUGAAUAAUAGAUUUCAAAAAGGGGAACAAUUUAAGCUGUAACUAGAAGGAAAAGGUAACUGUCAGAAUGGACUCUCUUGGCUUGCUGGUGGAGGGAAAGAGGAAAUUUGGAGCCUUGGCAGGUUUUUCUACUAGCCAGGUCAGGGGAUAUUUAAAGGUAGCAGCAAUAACCAGAGUACCUUAUAAACUGAAAAUGGGAAUUGCUAUAAACUAUUUACUAAAAACAUUACCUUAAAAGGGGUAAGGACAUUUUCUGCUUUUUCUCCUUCUCCUGUAGCUUUAGGCAAGAAGGAGAGAUGCCAGGAAAAGAGGCAGGAGUCAGGAAGGGCUGGCUGCGCUGGAGCCUCCCUGUUGUUCCACCACCGUGUCUAAGUUCCUCAAAAGCUUCCCAGUCCCCACCCCGACCCUACACUGAGUCUGCCAUUAGAAAAUGGAUACCCAACUGAAUCUGCUGAAAGGAAUCUGAAACUCUUCUUUAAGUAACUGAAGGUCUCCAGUAAGCAAAAAGACAGUGGGAUUCAUUACUGAGUGUCUUUCUUUUACCCCUUUUCUCUAUAAAAGCCACAUUUAAAAUCUUAUAAGAAAACGUAUAUCCAAUUAAUUAAUAAAGAAAUCCAAAAGCAUUCGCUCUA